UACUGACAUGCAAGUGUCUCUCCAGGGCUGGGCUGGAAUUUCAAGCGUGCAGCGCCCCCCCCCCCCCCCCAAUUCUUGGGAAGGCACAAGGUGGACAGCUUCCCUCGAUGGAGGUAACUGGAUACUGACUCUAUGGGAGAGCAGCGCUGGAAAGAGCAUGCUCAGAGUCUUCCUUAUGGCCCCAGUUGCCACCUCCCUCUAGUGACCCUCAGCCCUUUGGAACCAGCCGGCACUCUCUCCCACCUUGGCACCUACUACCGUCGGUUGGGCAGGCACUUCGGAGGGCACAAAAAUGAGUGAGAUGCUGUUCCAUCCUGCAAGGGGGUGACCAGGACUUAAAUUCUUACAAGGCCACUGUGUCAAAGCGGGUGUUGGCACAAG